UUCGAUUCCAUUUGAGGAUAAUUCCAUUUGAGUCCAUUCGAUGAUUGUUCCAUUCGAUUCUAUUCGGUGAUUCCAUUCGAUUCCAUUUGAUAAUGAUUCCAUUCGAGACCAUUCGAUGAUUCCAUUCAAUUCCAUUCAAUAAUGAUUCCUUUCGAGUCCAUUCAAUGAUUCCAUUCAAGUCCAUUCGAUGAUCCCAUCUGAUUCCAUUCAAUGAAUCCAUUCGAUUCCAUUCAGUGAUGAUUCCAUUCAUUUCCAUCUGAUGAUGAUUCCAUUCGAUUCCAUUCAAUGAUGCCAUUCGAUUCCAUUUGAUGAUGAUUUCAAUCAAUUUCAUUCGAUGAUUCCAUUCGAAUCCAUUCGAUGAUGAGUCCAUCCAUUUCAAUUUCAUGAUAAUUCCAUUCGUUUCAAUUCGAUGGUGUUUCCAUUCGAUUCC
rnacentral:lncRNA from 1 species